rnacentral:sRNA from 1 species
UUUCGAUAUGCCUUGACUAGCUCCAUACUGAGCACUUCUAAACCUCCCUGUGACUAGCAAACACUCCCCUCUGAUGAAAAUGUCCCUGGGGACUGACUCGGAUGAUGAGAAAGACUUUUAGAAGGUAUGUAGUGAAAAGUCAUGACAGGUGUAUCAGUCAUGAAUCACAGGACUUCACGUCAUGAGUACUCCUGCUCUUUGGGACUGAGGACUUUUGACCUCAAUCCUCCCUCAGACUCAGGAAACUCUCGACACAAGUGAUGACAGAACUUGUGAGAUGGGGAUUGUGAUAAUGGACAUUGCUUAUGGCAAGUGGUGUGACAUUUCUCAAAUGCAUCUUGGACUGACUAGAAUGCGACCACACUGCAGACCUCUCUGCACUAAGCAGAAGCGACCUGGGUGAAGAACUUGCUCUGAAAUAACCCAACCCUUCAAGGGUGGAAGGGGAAUUGAACCUUGGUUUCUUUCUUGAAUGUUAUUUCAGGGAGGAAAUGCCUAUGCAAUUAUCAAGCGCACAUUGAAUUAUUAAAUGCUGCCUGUUUACCUGUACAGAUGGC